AGCAACAGAAAAAAACGCUUCUCUCGCUCCCCUUGGGCGUUGACUUGCGAGUCGCCAGCGUGAGUGGCCCACGCCCUACACAGCCUCCGGUGGCCAUCGAGAUUAGCCAGCUCCCCUCCGAUUCCCCGCGGCCAUGCUCCCCCAUCUGGUGCUGGUGGCGAGGCUUCGAGUUCUUGCCACAGUUUGCAGUAGCGUAUCCUUGUCGAGCAGGAUAUUCUGCCGGAGAGAAGUGACAGAAAAUACAGAUCCGGAGAACUCUUCUCCGUUGGCUGGAACCAAGGGAGAUCGGAAUGUGGACGUACCAUCUUGUGUAUCGGUUGCAGUAUCAUCAUGCUGGAUGAGGUAGUAUAUCUCGUAUGCACUUAGUAUGGGAGGGAGCACAGAGGUGUUGGUAGCGAUGAUGCAGACAUUGUAGAAACCGCUGGCAUCAGUGACUAUAGCGGUGGCAGUUGUAUAGUCUGCAAAGAGAUAGGCUGGGCUGACUGGCCGAUUAUUUGCCUCCCACAGGAAGCCAUUGUAGUAUAUAUCAAAUUCCCGUUUGUGUUGAUUCUGGAAAUCAGUAUAAUACAAAUUGAGGUAGUACCCAGGCGGUGCCAUGGCCAGCCAGGCAGAAGGAACUGUCCACGACAAGUUGAGAGGGAUGGAGGUGGUAGGCGAGAUUCAGCCACCGUGAGGUACCGUUUGAUGGCCACCACAAACGAUCGUAGGGAUCAUCCGGAUACCUGCAAAGGUUAGUAAACUUUAUCAAAUUCUUUGCCUGGAUUGUAAGCUCAAGAUACACAUUUUUGAUAAUAUGAUCCCCAGAGUUAUACAAAUGAGCUAACAGGUGUGUUAAUCUUAUUCAGCAUGCCCAUAUAUUGAAUUUUUGCUCAAUCUAAGUCUCCUCUAACCACUUGAUUGUCACGUAAAAGAAAUCAGCGGAGAAUUAUUGUUGUUAGUAGAUAUGAAUGAAAGACCCAAGUAAUACAAUGUUUAGAAAGAUAUAGUGCAGUUCACUGUUCUUCGUCUUAUUUACAGGUAUUUGUUACUUUUAUAUUGCCUCUGUACCAAAAUGUAAGACAUUUUUUUGGUUUUGCAUAGGGCAUUGAAAAACAUCUUAUAUUUUGUUACAGAGGGAGUAGUUAAUAGAAAAUACACUACAUUACUCUCUGAACUUAAUUACCUGACUAGGCUGCUUGCACCAAGGCUACGCCGUUCCUGGAGCGCGAUGGACUGAUUUUGCAAGGCUACUGGGUACAAUGAGCUCUUCAUCUGCCUCAUCUCCAGUGACGACACAAAGGCAGUCCCACUGCCAAUGU